GCGCUCCCGUGGGUUGCAAAACACUCAGCAAAAUGAAUGCUUACAAUAUCAGGAAACGCAAUUCCGUGCAACAUUCCAGUGUCCAGGAACAACUGGUUCCUUUGUAAGUCGUAGGCCAUUUUGCCACGCAGGGGAGCGGAGCGUGUCCCAGACUUGUGUCCGGCAUGUUCAAGUGGGAAAGUGACGUCAAUGCAUACCCUCUAUAAAACAAUCACCACAUUCCCGGGCCACCGCCCCUGACAACCGUCGUCAAGUGAAUCAUUAAGUGUCUGCAGUCUUUUAUGUAACACAGUUAUCAUUCAUUGUACAUGAAAGCUCUCAUAACAUUACAAAAGGAACAUUUCUCAUCGUUCAGUAAUCUCAAAGAUUUAAAUACAUUUGACUAACGUUUCAAGAAACAUUUGUGAAUAUAUAUGUCGUAUCGUUUUAUUUUACAUUGGUGUUUGCUCUUACACUUCAUAGUUAUAUUUUAUAUACAAUCACUACUCGCUUAAAAUGGGUUAAAAAGCUUUCAGAAGUUACCAAAAUCUUCACUCUUGCCAUUACAGAAGGUGCAUGUAUCAUUUUCAGAUUAAAAUUCUAAAACGAAGUUUAUUUUGUUGGCAAGGCAAGAUUUAUGCAAACGUUUAAGUUUUCGUCCAUUGAAUAUUAAAAAGACAAAAAAUCCAAAUGGCAAGAUUAAAAACAAGAGUACUCCCAAAAAUAUCCAAGCAGUUUAAGAUCCAUUUAAUAGGUUAUAUGGAAGAUUAUUAACAAAUUAACCCCACUGGAAGACAAUAAGUGACAUGUAAAAUUAAAGCGAUCUACUACAAUCGCUAUGCUUUUAUUAGACCACAUCCCAAAAAUGUGUCAGUGUCUAACUUUAUUACCAGCACCAUUUCAUAGGAUAGUGUUGCGAGGUAUUUAACUGUUCUGCUUCUAAAAAAGGUAUAUGAAAUGAGGAAUAAAUUAGACAUGGGUAUUAUUGGAGAGAAAUGGGUAAGCAGCUUUCCAAAGGGUCCAUCAUAUACACUGCCUACUAUAUGUAGCCUACGGGAUCACUAAUGCGAAAAACUUUGUAUUGAUAAAUCAAGUCAUGGCAGGUAAAAAUGUGUUCUCAUGAGAUGAUGAUCUUGACAUUGUGGAAUUGAUAGUUUUAAACACUUCACAUUAAAAUAUUGGGAAAAUUUAACCUUUUCCUGGCUGGUUUAUGGAUGAAGCAGAGACACUGAAAAAGGGUUGUAUUAAAGUUCUGAACUAUUUGCACUUGUAAAAAGUGAUUCAGCUAACCCAGCAAAUUAAUUUAAGCCCUUUUGAAGCACCGGUCCCAUCACAUGGGUGACAAAUUAAGCAGAAUCAGGCGAUUUGAGUCAUCCACAACAAAAGGACAGUAGUCAGACUGUGGUUUUACAUGUGCACGUUUUAUUUGGGUUCACUUGUCAGUGUACAGAGACACCCUGGCUUACAUAGGCAGGGGACACCCCUAAUUCACAUGGCCUUGGGAAGUCCUGCAAGAUCUUCACUAAAAAGGUAAAGCUUUCCCCAUCAUUGCAAUAACAAACUGGGCCAAGUUUAAGGCUGAAGUACAAAAAAGAAAAACAA